UUAAGCGACUAAGCGUACACGGUGGAUGCCCUGGCAGUCAGAGGCGAUGAAGGACGUGCUAAUCUGCGAAAAGCGUCGGUAAGGUGAUAUGAACCGUUAUAACCGGCGAUGUCCGAAUGGGGAAACCCAGUGUGAUUCGUCACACUAUCGUUAACUGAAUACAUAGGUUAACGAGGCGAACCGGGGGAACUGAAACAUCUAAGUACCCCGAGGAAAAGAAAUCAACCGAGAUUCCCCCAGUAGCGGCGAGCGAACGGGGAGCAGCCCAGAGUCUGAAUCAGCUUGUGUGUUAGUGGAACGGUCUGGAAAGUCCGACGGUACAGGGUGAUAGUCCCGUACACCAAAAUGCACAGGCUGUGAACUCGAAGAGUAGGGCGGGACACGUGGUAUCCUGUCUGAAUAUGGGGGGACCAUCCUCCAAGGCUAAAUACUCCUGACUGACCGAUAGUGAACCAGUACCGUGAGGGAAAGGCGAAAAGAACCCCGGCGAGGGGAGUGAAAAAGAACCUGAAACCGUGUACGUACAAGCAGUGGGAGCACCUUCGGGUGUGACUGCGUACCUUUUGUAUAAUGGGUCAGCGACUUAUAUUCUGUAGCAAGGUUAACCGUAUAGGGGAGCCGCAGGGAAACCGAGUCUUAACUGGGCGUUAAGUUGCAGGGUAUAGACCCGAAACCCGGUGAUCUAGCCAUGGGCAGGUUGAAGGUUGGGUAACACUAACUGGAGGACCGAACCGACUAAUGUUGAAAAAUUAGCGGAUGACUUGUGGCUGGGGGUGAAAGGCCAAUCAAACCGGGAGAUAGCUGGUUCUCCCCGAAAGCUAUUUAGGUAGCGCCUCGUGAACUCAUCUUCGGGGGUAGAGCACUGUUUCGGCUAGGGGGUCAUCCCGACUUACCAACCCGAUGCAAACUACGAAUACCGAAGAAUGUUAUCACGGGAGACACACGGCGGGUGCUAACGUCCGUCGUGAAGAGGGAAACAACCCAGACCGCCAGCUAAGGUCCCAAAGUCAUGGUUAAGUGGGAAACGAUGUGGGAAGGCACAGACAGCCAGGAUGUUGGCUUAGAAGCAGCCAUCAUUUAAAGAAAGCGUAAUAGCUCACUGGUCGAGUCGGCCUGCGCGGAAGAUGUAACGGGGCUAAACCAUGCACCGAAGCUGCGGCAGCGACACUAUGUGUUGUUGGGUAGGGGAGCGUUCUGUAAGCCUGCGAAGGUGACCUGUGAGGGUUGCUGGAGGUAUCAGAAGUGCGAAUGCUGACAUAAGUAACGAUAAAGCGGGUGAAAAGCCCGCUCGCCGGAAGACCAAGGGUUCCUGUCCAACGUUAAUCGGGGCAGGGUGAGUCGACCCCUAAGGCGAGGCCGAAAGGCGUAGUCGAUGGGAAACAGGUUAAUAUUCCUGUACUUGGUGUUACUGCGAAGGGGGGACGGAGAAGGCUAUGUUAGCCGGGCGACGGUUGUCCCGGUUUAAGCAUGUAGGCUGAUUAUCCAGGCAAAUCCGGAUAAUCAAGGCUGAGGUGUGAUGACGAGGCACUACGGUGCUGAAGUAACAAAUGCCCUGCUUCCAGGAAAAGCCUCUAAGCAUCAGGUAACAUCAAAUCGUACCCCAAACCGACACAGGUGGUCAGGUAGAGAAUACCAAGGCGCUUGAGAGAACUCGGGUGAAGGAACUAGGCAAAAUGGUGCCGUAACUUCGGGAGAAGGCACGCUGGUGUGUAGGUGAAGCCCCUGCGGGUGGAGCUGAGACCAGUCGAAGAUACCAGCUGGCUGCAACUGUUUAUUAAAAACACAGCACUGUGCAAACACGAAAGUGGACGUAUACGGUGUGACGCCUGCCCGGUGCCGGAAGGUUAAUUGAUGGGGUUAUCCGUAAGGAGAAGCUCUUGAUCGAAGCCCCGGUAAACGGCGGCCGUAACUAUAACGGUCCUAAGGUAGCGAAAUUCCUUGUCGGGUAAGUUCCGACCUGCACGAAUGGCGUAAUGAUGGCCAGGCUGUCUCCACCCGAGACUCAGUGAAAUUGAACUCGCUGUGAAGAUGCAGUGUACCCGCGGCAAGACGGAAAGACCCCGUGAACCUUUACUAUAGCUUGACACUGAACAUUGAGCCUUGAUGUGUAGGAUAGGUGGGAGGCUUUGAAGCGUGGACGCCAGUCUGCGUGGAGCCAACCUUGAAAUACCACCCUUUAAUGUUUGAUGUUCUAACGUUGGCCCCUGACCGGGGUUGCGGACAGUGUCUGGUGGGUAGUUUGACUGGGGCGGUCUCCUCCCAAAGCGUAACGGAGGAGCACGAAGGUUAGCUAAUCCUGGUCGGACAUCAGGAGGUUAGUGCAAUGGCAUAAGCUAGCUUGACUGCGAGCGUGACGGCGCGAGCAGGUGCGAAAGCAGGUCAUAGUGAUCCGGUGGUUCUGAAUGGAAGGGCCAUCGCUCAACGGAUAAAAGGUACUCCGGGGAUAACAGGCUGAUACCGCCCAAGAGUUCAUAUCGACGGCGGUGUUUGGCACCUCGAUGUCGGCUCAUCACAUCCUGGGGCUGAAGUAGGUCCCAAGGGUAUGGCUGUUCGCCAUUUAAAGUGGUACGCGAGCUGGGUUUAGAACGUCGUGAGACAGUUCGGUCCCUAUCUGCCGUGGGCGCUGGAGAAUUGAGGGGGGCUGCUCCUAGUACGAGAGGACCGGAGUGGACGCAUCACUGGUGUUCGGGUUGUCAUGCCAAUGGCACUGCCCGGUAGCUAAAUGCGGAAGAGAUAAGUGCUGAAAGCAUCUAAGCACGAAACUUGCCCCGAGAUGAGUUCUCCCUGAGACUUUAAGUCUCCUGAAGGAACGUUAAAGACGAUGACGUUGAUAGGCCGGGUGUGUAAGCGCAGCGAUGCGUUGAGCUAACCGGUACUAAUGAACCGUGAGGCUUAACCUU
rnacentral:rRNA from 1 species